UUGACGGGCAUUGUCAUCUCAUUAACAGGCAGCAGGCUCCACAUGCCUUCUGUGAUUGGCAAAAUCUCUCUUCUGUAACAGAACAGCUGCCAGGGGCUGGUUUCCUCAGACAGAGACGUGUCACAGAGAAGGUGUUGGCUCAGAGGAGGGACCAGGCAAGGACCAGUCGGGAGGCAGAGCUGUCCCCAAGCGAGCCAUGCAGAGGGUCUGCUCCUUCAUCCACCUCACCCUCUUCUGGGCAGGAGUCAUGUCAGCUGUCGUGUUGUUGCCUCAAGACCAAGAAAAGACUGUGCCUGUGGGGAAAUCUGUCACCCUCAGUUGCUCCAUGAAAGGAGACUCCAUCAGUAAACACUAUAUUUUCUGGUACAGGAAGACCCCGGGUAACACAAUGACUUUCAUAUACCGAGAAGGGGGUACAUAUGGCCCUGGGUUUGAGGACAACUUCCGAGGUAAAAUUGAUGAUUUAACCAACCAGGCUAUGCUGGAGGUCCUGAAGGCAUCAAAGAGAGAUGAAGGAUUUUACUACUGUGCCAGUGUUACCACCCUGCUGCAGGUUCACUUCUAAGCAACUCAACAAACACAGAGAUCUAAGUGGAAUAGCAUUUUCAACAAGAUCAUGACUUUCUCUUGAAGAAAUAGUUUAACAAAUGGAGGCCAGAGAAGGCUGAUGUCCAUGCCUUUCCUUCAGGUUCAGUGGCUCAUAUCCUGCCCACAAGCUCCCGUGGUGCUUAGAUAGGCAAUCCCUAGUGAGGUGUGGCCCAG